rnacentral:rRNA from 1 species
GSGKGCGGSUCUAUACAUGCAGUCGUACGCUUCUUUUUCCACCGGAGCUUGCUCCACCGGAAAAAGAAGAGUGGCGAACGGGUGAGUAACACGUGGGUAACCUGCCCWUCAGAAGGGGAUAACACUUGGAAACAGGUGCUAAUACCGUAUAACAAUCGAAACCGCAUGGUUUUGAUUUGAAAGGCGCUUUCGGGUGUCGCUGAUGGAUGGACCCGCGGUGCAUUAGCUAGUUGGUGAGGUAACGGCUCACCAAGGCCACGAUGCAUAGCCGACCUGAGAGGGUGAUCGGCCACAUUGGGACUGAGACACGGCCCAAACUCCUACGGGAGGCAGCAGUAGGGAAUCUUCGGCAAUGGACGAAAGUCUGACCGAGCAACGCCGCGUGAGUGAAGAAGGUUUUCGGAUCGUAAAACUCUGUUGUUAGAGAAGAACAAGGAUGAGAGUAACUGUUCAUCCCUUGACGGUAUCUAACCAGAAAGCCACGGCUAACUACGUGCCAGCAGCCGCGGUAAUACGUAGGUGGCAAGCGUUGUCCGGAUUUAUUGGGCGUAAAGCGAGCGCAGGCGGUUUCUUAAGUCUGAUGUGAAAGCCCCCGGCUCAACCGGGGAGGGUCAUUGGAAACUGGGAGACUUGAGUGCAGAAGAGGAGAGUGGAAUUCCAUGUGUAGCGGUGAAAUGCGUAGAUAUAUGGAGGAACACCAGUGGCGAAGGCGGCUCUCUGGUCUGUAACUGACGCUGAGGCUCGAAAGCGUGGGGAGCAAACAGGAUUAGAUACCCUGGUAGUCCACGCCGUAAACGAUGAGUGCUAAGUGUUGGAGGGUUUCCGCCCUUCAGUGCUGCAGCUAACGCAUUAAGCACUCCGCCUGGGGGAGUACGACCGCAAGGUUGAAACUCAAAGGAAUUGACGGGGGCCCGCACAGCGGUGGAGCAUGUGGUUUAUUCGAGCACGCGAGAUCGUACAAGUCUGACAUCCUUUGACCACUCUAGARAUAGAGCUCCCCAUUCCGGGGCCAACUUGACAGUGUGCAUGGCUGUCGUCAGCUCG